rnacentral:rRNA from 1 species
CAGCCGCCGCGGUAAUACGUAGGUGGCAAGCGUUGUCCGGAAUUAUUGGGCGUAAAGGGCUCGCAGGCGGUUUCUUAAGUCUGAUGUGAAAGCUCCCGGCUCAACCGGGGAGGGUCAUUGGAAACUGGGAAACUUGAGUGCAGAAGAGGAGAGUGGAAUUCCACGUGCAGCGGUGAAAUGCGUAGAGAUGUGGAGGAACACCAGUGGCGAAGGCGACUCUCUGGUCUGUAACUGACGCUGAGGAGCGAAAGCGUGGGGAGCGAACAGGAUUAGAUACCCCGGUAGUCCCUGUCUCUUAUAC